GACGAACGCUGGCGGCGUGCUUAACACAUGCAAGUCGAACGGAAAGGCCCUGCUUUUGUGGGGUGCUCGAGUGGCGAACGGGUGAGUAACACGUGAGUAACCUGCCCUUGACUUUGGGAUAACUUCAGGAAACUGGGGCUAAUACCGGAUAGGCGCUCCUGCUGCAUGGUGGGGGUUGGAAAGUUUCGGCGGUUGGGGAUGGACUCGCGGCUUAUCAGCUUGUUGGUGGGGUCGUGGCUUACCAAGGCUUUGACGGGUAGCCGGCCUGAGAGGGUGACCGGCCACAUUGGGACUGAGAUACGGCCCAGACUCCUACGGGAGGCAGCAGUGGGGAAGAUUGCACAAUGGGCGGAAGCCUGAUGCAGCAACGCCGCGUGCGGGAUGACGGCCUUCGGGUUGUAAACCGCUUUCGCCUGUGACGAAGCGUGAGUGACGGUAAUGGGUAAAGAAGCACCGGCUAACUACGUG
rnacentral:rRNA from 1 species